rnacentral:rRNA from 1 species
GAUGAACGCUGGCGGGGUGCCUAAUACAUGCAAGUCGAGCGAACAGACGAGGAGCUUGCUCCUCUGACGUUAGCGGCGGACGGGUGAGUAACACGUGGAUAACCUACCUAUAAGACUGUGAUAACUUCGGGAAACCGGAGCUAAUACCGGAUAAUAUAUUGAACCGCAUGGUUCAAUAGUGAAAGACGGUUUUGCUGUCACUUAUAGAUGGAUCCGCGCCGCAUUAGCUAGUUGGUAAGGUAACGGCUUACCAAGGCGACGAUGCGUAGCCGACCUGAGAGGGUGAUCGGCCACACUGGAACUGAGACACGGUCCAGACUCCUACGGGAGGCAGCAGUAGGGAAUCUUCCGCAAUGGGCGAAAGCCUGACGGAGCAACGCCGCGUGAGUGAUGAAGGUCUUCGGAUCGUAAAACUCUGUUAUUAGGGAAGAACAAAUGUGUAAGUAACUAUGCACGUCUUGACGGUACCUAAUCAGAAAGCCACGGCUAACUACGUG